rnacentral:rRNA from 1 species
AAACUAGAUACAAGCGAGCGGCGGACGGGUGAGUAACACGUGGGUAACCUGCCCAAGAGACUGGGAUAACACCUGGAAACAGAUGCUAAUACCGGAUAACAACACUAGACGCAUGUCUAGAGUUUGAAAGAUGGUUCUGCUAUCACUCUUGGAUGGACCUGCGGUGCAUUAGCUAGUUGGUAAGGUAACGGCUUACCAAGGCAAUGAUGCAUAGCCGAGUUGAGAGACUGAUCGGCCACAUUGGGACUGAGACACGGCCCAAACUCCUACGGGAGGCAGCAGUAGGGAAUCUUCCACAAUGGACGAAAGUCUGAUGGAGCAACGCCGCGUGAGUGAAGAAGGGUUUCGGCUCGUAAAGCUCUGUUGGUAGUGAAGAAAGAUAGAGGUAGUAACUGGCCUUUAUUUGACGGUAAUUACUUAGAAAGUCACGGCUAACUACGUGCCAGCAGCCGCGGUAAUACGAAGGUGGCAAGCGUUGUCCGGAUUUAUUGGGCGUAAAGCGAGUGCAGGCGGUUCAAUAAGUCUGAUGUGAAAGCCUUCGGCUCAACCGGAGAAUUGCAUCAGAAACUGUUGAACUUGAGUGCAGAAUACGAGAGUGGAACUCCCUGUGUAGCGGUGGAAUGCGUAGAUAUAUGGAAGAACACCAGUGGCGAACGCGGCUCUCUGGUCUGCAACUGACGCU